rnacentral:tRNA from 1 species
GGUCGAUACGGUAAGGGGUGUCGCUGCCCAUCGGGAAGAGGUCGAUCAGGGCGCCGCGUAUCGCGAACUCCCCGUGUUCGUACACGGUGUCGACCA